rnacentral:misc_RNA from 1 species
GAUGAAGAACGUAGCGAAAUGCGAUAAGUAUUGCGAAUUGCAGAAUUCCAGUGAGUCAUCGAAUCUUUGAACGCACAUUGCGCCCUUUGGUAUUCCGAAGGGCAUGCCUGUUCGAGCGUCAUUAUCACCCCUCAAGCCCUCGGCUUGGUGUUGGACGGUUUGGUGGAGGCCCCCUCGGGGGCUCCUGCCCCUCCCAAAGACAAUGACGGCGGCCUCGUUGGACCCCCGGUACACUGAGUUCUUCACGGGACACGUAUCGGACACAUGGGUUUACGGGACACGGUCUGCCUCCCCUCAGGGAGAAUCUUUCUAAGGUUGACCUCGGAUCAGGUAGGGAUACCCGCUGAACUUAAGCAUAUCAAUAAGCGGAGGA